CAGAAUUCCUGCACGCAUGGAGAACUUUUUUUGAGAUAGUAAAAAGACAAAAUAAUGAACGUGGCCGGGCUGUUAACACAGAGAAUGAGAACACAGAGGGCAAGGAUGCAUAUUUUGAACCCCGGGAGCAAGAUUUAUAUGCUGGGUCUUUUGGCUGUGAUAAUCUUUUAGACCCUGUUGCUGUAAAUCCUGAAAAAG